rnacentral:misc_RNA from 1 species
AACCUUAUGGACCUGCGGGCGUAUACCUGCGGAGGGAUCAUUACAAGUGACCCCGGUCUAACCACCGGGAUGUUCAUAACCCUUUGUUGUCCGACUCUGUUGCCUCCGGGGCGACCCUGCCUUCGGGCGGGGGCUCCGGGUGGACACUUCAAACUCUUGCGUAACUUUGCAGUCUGAGUAAACUUAAUUAAUAAAUUAAAACUUUCAACAACGGAUCU